UGAGGAAUAUUGGUCAAUGGGGGCAACCCUGAACCAGCCAAGUCGCGUGAAGGAUGAAGGUCUUAUGGAUUGUAAACUUCUUUUACACGGGAAUAAGGUGGGGGACGUGUCCCCCUUUGCAUGUACCGCGUGAAUAAGGAUCGGCUAACUCCGUGCCAGCAGCCGCGGUAAUACGGAGGAUCCGAGCGUUAUCCGGAUUUAUUGGGUUUAAAGGGUGCGCAGGCGGGAUGUUAAGUCGGCGGUGAAAUUUUGCAGCUCAACUGUAAAAGUGCCUUCGAUACUGGCCUCCUUGAGUGUGGAUGAAGUAGGCGGAAUUUGUGGUGUAGCGGUGAAAUGCUUAGAUAUCACGAGGAACUCCGAUUGCGCAGGCAGCUUACUAAGCCACAACUGACGCUCAUGCACGAAGGCGUGGGGAUCAAACA
rnacentral:rRNA from 1 species